UACAGAGGGUGCGAGCGUUAAUCGGAAUUACUGGGCGUAAAGGGUGCGUAGGCGGUUAUUGAAGUUAGAUGUGAAAUCCCCGGGCUUAACCUGGGAAUGGCAUUUGAGACUGAAUAGCUAGAGUAGAGUAGAGGGAAGUGGAAUUUCCGGUGUAGCGGUGAAAUGCGUAGAUAUCGGAAAGAACACCAGUGGCGAAGGCGGCUUUCUGGACUCAUACUGACGCUGAGGCACGAAAGCAUGGGGAGCAAACAGG
rnacentral:rRNA from 1 species